rnacentral:tRNA from 1 species
GCCCAGGUGGUGGAAUUGGUAGACACGAGGGACUUAAAAUCCCUUGGAGCAAUACUCCAUGCGAGUUCGAGUCUCGCCCUGGGCA